rnacentral:lncRNA from 10 species
ACAUAGGAAAAAUCUUUCCUUAAGACACUGUAAUUGAAUUUCUGUUACAUGCAGGCUAACUCAAACCUAACCAGAAUAAUUGUCAAAAAUGCUUCAAUUUAAUCUGAACUUAAUUGUCCAAGACCUUCUCUACAGGCCAGUGUGGCAGGCAGCCAGCGCAUUCUUAAAUUGCUUUAGCCUGUCAUCUCACCACUUGGGCAUUCUUGAUGAGGAUGAAGUAUGGAUGCCUGUGACCCCUACCAAGCCAUGCAGAUGAGCAGCUGAUAUCUAUGGAUCUGAGUAAGCGCUGAAUGGUGACCUCAGAG